rnacentral:rRNA from 1 species
GAUGAACGCUGGCGGCGUGCCUAAUACAUGCAAGUCGAGCGAACAGACGAGGAGCUUGCUCCUUCGACGUUAGCGGCGGACGGGUGAGUAACACGUAGGUAACCUACCUAUAAGACUGGGAUAACUUCGGGAAACCGGAGCUAAUACCGGAUAAUAUUUCGAACCGCAUGGUUCGAUAGUGAAAGAUGGCUUUGCUAUCACUUAUAGAUGGACCUGCGCCGUAUUAGCUAGUUGGUAAGGUAACGGCUUACCAAGGCAACGAUACGUAGCCGACCUGAGAGGGUGAUCGGCCAAACUGGAACUGAGACAAGGUCCAGACUCCUAAGGGAGGCAGCAGUAGGGAAUCUUCCGCAAUGGGCGAAAGCCUGACGGAGCAACGCCGCGUGAGUGAUGAAGGUCUUCGGAUCGUAAAACUCUGUUAUUAGGGAAGAACAAACGUGUAAGUAACUGUGCACGUCUUGACGGUACCUAAUCAGAAAGCCACGGCUAACUACGUG